rnacentral:lncRNA from 1 species
CGAUUGUUAGCGUAGCUACUCGUAAAUAUUCAAUUAUUUGCGCGAUUACAUCGGCGAUGCGAAAAACAGAUUCGUACCUGGUAAUCUCGUUUACUCCUUUGGACCUUUGCAAUGUAGGAAAGAAAAGAGCAAACUUGUGAUUGGAAUUUACAUUUUGAAUCACGUAUGAUGAAAGUAACGAUGCUCUACGUAUCAAGAGUUGAAUCUAUCAGCUUUAAUGGAAAGGUGCAAAUUAGAGGAAUUGCAUCGUUGCUCAGCUCUUUUCUCACACAUAACUGAGGAACAGUCCCACGAUAUCCCUUCACACAGGAUGCGCAUAUAAUAAUGGUAUUGUUUUUCAUGAGUCUAGCCACGGUUCGUAAACCGUUUAAGAACACGGUUGUAUUUUUAUGCGCAUUCUUUAGAACCAAGAAAUUUUUUUUUUAAAAGAAAAGCCCUUCUCGCUAUGCUUGUGAAGAUUUAUUUAAGAUAAUUACUCCAUAAUUUAGUGUUACCCUAGCGCAAUAUAUUAAUAUUAAUUUUAUAAUUAAUUUUAUAAAAUAAGAGUAAAUAACAUAUCUUGUUUUUUUUUUAAAAAGCAUUAUAUGUAACCUUUAUCAGCAUUCAAACACUGCUAUCUUGAAGAAACAUAAUUUAAAUAAUAUUCUCAAUAGCGAUGUAGUAACAUAAUCCACAUAUUUAUCGAUUAGGAGAUUUGUUUAGGUUCAGAUAACGCAAUCACAAAUUGGCAGUGCGUGUAGAUGUAAAAUAUAUAGGUUUAUUCGUGUAUCAACGUUCACCGGAAGCGCGGCGUAGCGUAACUCCGGUACUUCCUCGAUACUCAGUAAGAACGCAUAUUUCUAGCCAAACGGUUCGCGUUUUACGCUAGGAAAUAGCAUAUUAGUAAUGAAUUUGAUAUUUAAAAAAAUUUCCUGAAAGAUUAGAAUUUGCAAAACUUAAAUUUUACAUUUUGCGUACUUGAAAUUUGCAACAGGUUGCGGUCCAUGGUGAGUGACAAAAAAGAUAAAAGAUAAUGAUCUUUUUUCGAGCAGUUGCGUGCUCUGUGUUUCGUUUUAAAACGAUACAAGUCCAAAAACGUAUACUGAGAUUUCAGAAAACGAGUUCUAAAAUGCAUUAUCAUAUUCGUUGUGACUUAAAUAAAUUAGUAUUUUGUAUACAGGAUAUUUGUAUAUAAUUUUCACACUAUUGAAUACAUGUUCACUUUUAAAACUUAUAAAACGAAACGAAACAUAAAAUAAUAUAUUUUGGCUUCAUGUAAGUAUUUAAAAACACGUGAAACUAUGAUAUAAAUGAUAUUCAAGAUAAAUAUUUUACUUUAGAAUGUACUAAGUACGAUAAAUCAGUUUGAUUUUCUUGCAAGCUGAAGGUGCGAUAUGUAUUGUAAAGCACCAUGACAAUAGAAAAUACACGUCAGCAUAUCUUUAGUGUGUGUGUACGUGCAAGACUUGGAACUGCUGAAGUUAUGGAGACUGUCGAUUGUCUGCGAUACAUGCGGUGCGACUUUGAAAGUACAUUAAUAUCGAUGGUCACCACUUGAGGCACAACUGUUCUAACAAGAAAACCACCAAAACUCUUCCUCCUCGACUUUGACAAAUAACCAAACGAGAAAUUGCCUUUCAAAGAAAAUACUGUAAUUCUAUUAAAACUUAUUUCGCAAAUAAUAUUUCUAUCAAAUUUAUUCAACAUGGAAUUUCAGUGUAAGACUUAAACACGAAUAUAUAUUAUACUAAAAAAAGUCAUAUCGAAGAAAAAUGGAAUCCGAUAAAAUUUACCCUAAG